GCAUAUCAAUAAGCGGAGGAAAAGAAACCAACAGGGAUUGCCCUAGUAACGGCGAGUGAAGCGGCAACAGCUCAAAUUUGAAAUCUGGCUUCGGCCCGAGUUGUAAUUUGUAGAGGAUGCUUUGGGCGCGGCUCUAACUGAGUUCCCUGGAACGGGACGCCACAGAGGGUGAGAGCCCCGUAUAGUUAGAUGCCUAGCCUAUGUAAAGCUCCUUCGACGAGUCGAGUAGUUUGGGAAUGCUGCUCUAAAUGGGAGGUAAAUUUCUUCUAAAGCUAAAUAUUGGCCAGAGACCGAUAGCGCACAAGUAGAGUGAUCGAAAGAUGAAAAGCACUUUGAAAAGAGGGUUAAAUAGCACGUGAAAUUGUUGAAAGGGAAGCGCUUGUGACCAGACUUGCGCCGGGCAGAUCAUCCGGUGUUCUCACCGGUGCACUCUGCCCGGCUCAGGCCAGCAUCGGUUCUCGUGGGGGGAUAAAGGUCCCGGGAACGUAGCUCCUCCGGGAGUGUUAUAGCCCGGGGCGUAAUGCCCUCGUGGGGACCGAGGUUCGUGCAUCUGCAAGGAUGCUGGCGUAAUGG
rnacentral:rRNA from 1 species